rnacentral:tRNA from 1 species
UCGGUUUGCAAGAAGAUUUAAACUUCUGUUUUUAGAGCCACAGCCUA